UACGUAGGGGCUAGCGUUGUCCGGAUUUAUUGGGCGUAAAGAGCGUGUAGGCGGCCAGGUAGGUCUGCUGUGAAACUCGAGGCUCAACCUCGAGAUGUCGGCGGAAACCAUCUGGCUAGAGUCCGGAAGAGGAGAGUGGAAUUCCUGGUGUAGCGGUGAAAUGCGCAGAUAUCAGGAAGAACACCCGUGGCGAAGGCGGCUCUCUGGGACGGUACUGACGCUGAGACGCGAAAGCGUGGGGAGCGAACAGG
rnacentral:rRNA from 1 species